UCUAGGUUGAAUCAUUCAGCUUCCCCCUUGUCUCACACUCACGAUCCUCCGUCUCUAUCACCCCUCCUAUAUAUCGUUUCCGUUCCAACAAAGACCCAAUCAACAGUCUCCCAGUCAAUGUCGCCGGCAACUAUGUACAUAUCCUCUCUGUUCAUACAAAGACAAUAAAAAACGUGUUCUUCAAUAGCGUCUCUUUGAAACAAAGAUCCAGUCAAUACUUAAUAAAGGGGGAUUCAAAGACGAUUUUUGGUUUGUUUUUGAAGCAAUUUAAAGCCCAAUCAACUUCCAUCAACCAAUUUGAGUAUUCAUUACAGUCCGAAGUGACAAAGAAAAAGGUCCGUCUUAAAGACCGUAUCUAAUGCAGAAAGUUCACCCAGGGUUGUGCAAAAGCAUGAUGGACAAAAAUCUCUUUUGGUGGGUAUAUUUAGAACAUGGUUAGAGUUCUGAAAUUGAAGCAAACAAUGGUUCUCAAGUUAAAAUUCAGGCUACUGCAGGACCAGUUCUGGGUCCUCCUUGGCGGCGCCCUGACAAUGGGUAUCUUGUUGUUUCUCCGCAAGGCCAGUUGACACUUUAUUAUGAACCACAUUGUGUUUAUAACAAGAACUUUCUGGAGAAGGAAUGAGCCGACAUUGUAAUUACGCCUGUUAUAAAACAGCUUCUGCCAAGUCUUACAUUGGUUUCUGGACAAGAAGAUGCAGUUCAACUUGCAAACAUGCUCCAUGCCAGGUUUAUUGUGCCCAUGAAAAAUGGGGAGGUUGACAGUAAAGGGCUUCUUGCAAGUUUAAUUCAGUCUGAAGGAACAAUUGAAUCAUUCAAGGUUUGAUUUCUGUUAUCAGGAAAAAUAGUUCAGGCACUUAUUCCUAACAUUAAUCAAUUCAGCUGAAUUAGAGCAUUAAAAGAAUCAAUCUCAAGUCUAGUGGAAGUAAAGUGGUGAAAAAUUCCUCUACGAUCGAUCGGACCAAGCUAUGAUCGAUCAUAUUGUGAUCGUUUUAACCCUGCCAUGAUGAAUCGAGCCUUUUAUCCUUAUCCUCAGAAAAAUUUCCUAUUCGAUCCAUCUAACCUUCUAUUCAAUCGAUCGAACUUUUUGAUCUUGUCUUCACCAACCACUUUUGUCCUUUUUCUAAAAAUAUCUCAGCCUUGUCCUUAUCCAAAAAGUGCGCCACCAUGCUUCGAUCGAUCAGAGCAACCACGUGAUCGAUUGAACUGCCUCAAAUUGCAUGAAAAACAGAUUUCAAGCCGAAUUAAAGGUGUGCUCGUGGUGCAAUCAUUUGGAGGUCCUAGUGCAUGAGGUCUGACCAUUAGGUGUGACAUUUGAGCUACCUAUAUAAGGAAUUUGGCUAUUUUUAGCAAAGAGGUUGGCUAGUUAGAGAGAGAUUUGGCUAGAGAUUAGAGAGAAAUAUACAUUUUGGGAAAGUUCUUCCACUCAUCUAGGGUUUCUACCAAGAACACCAAGGGAGGAGGAUGAAUUCUACCAUGAAGAUAGCCCUUGAAGGUUGGAUGACAACAUCAAUGAGUGGCGAAACUACUCUUUUGGGGCUAAAAAUAGUCCUAAGCAUGCCUCCUAAACUUUGAUACUUUAUAAUUAGUGGGAUUUAUGUUGUAAUUCUCGUUUUGAUCUCAUAUUUAUAUAAAUCUUGUUUCUACAUGAUUUGUGUAGUUUUAUACUUCCAAUUGAUCUUUUACUUCUAUUCAUAUGUUUAUGUAUGUUAGAAUGAAUGAUCAUGUGCUUAUUUCUAGAUUUUGUGACAUUGAUGCAUGUCUAUGUGUGUUGAUAUUAUGAAUCUAGUGAUGGUCAAGGCAUAGUGCUUAAUAGAUUACUCUUGUAGUUUAUUUGAUAGUUCAUACUUAUUUCUUGAUGGAUUGUGUCACCUCUUUAGUUUAAUUUUCAUGUCAUUAGCAUAGUUGUAGUGUAAUUGUUUUAAAUUCUUAGAUAAAUGGACAAUCCAUUUUUAUUGUUUGAUGUUCCAUGCUUAUGAGUACAAAUAGUAUAUUUCUCUAGUCUGUUGAGUGUGCAUUAAUUGUGAGUUUAUAGAAGAAUUAAUAACUUAAUUUGAUAUGUUGUGUUAUUCACUAUAUUGAUUAGACAAUGUAUGCUUAUUUAGCCAUCCAUGUUAAUAUUUCAAUUAAUGGCACACACUUUCUUUUACGACACAUAAUCCCUUUAAUCCAUCAAAUGUUGAAUGCCUAGAAAGGCAAUGCUUAGUGGUGAACUCUAUGUCCUAAGAAUCCAAUCUCAUUCUUUACACCUCAUUCAUUUAGUUGUUUUACAUUGCAUUACAUUAGCUUAACUAAUUAAAUUAACUAAUAUAUUCUUUGAAAAUAUAUAUAUAUAUAUAUAUAUAUAUAUAUAUAAAUUUUACGGAUCGGAUCGAAUUUUUAACAACCUAAUCUAUGAGUUAUGGAUUCGAAUUUUUUGAAUUCGCCGCCGAUUCGUGGGUGUAUCAAUCCGUUUUGAUCUGUACAGAUCGGAUCGGAUUUGCGAUUUUACGGAUUAUUUACUCAUCCCUAUUAAUCAUAUGCUAAACAGACAGAUUCUCAUUUGGAGUUAAAAAAUGAAACUCUAAACUUAUAAAAAGUCGACAAUCAACUUAGAAAUGUUGGAUGUGAGUUGUUGUGAUAAGGUCUCAUAGCUGUGUCUUUGAAUUAGUUGUGAACUCUCCACAAGUAUUAGGUUCAUUAAAAGAUAUAUAUCUAUUAUUAUUUAAUAAUUAUUUUGUAAUAUAUAUAUAUAUAUAUUUUCUUGAUGGAAGUACUCAUAUUGUUUAUGUAAUAAUUAUAUUAUAUCACUUAUAUAAUAAAAAUAUUAUUUUUUAUGUAUCUGUUGCAGUGUGUUACACACUAGCAAGAAUCUCUGUAUACAUCAACUGUGAAAUGCGUGUGUUUGUAAAAGCGGUCUGGAAGGUCAUGGUUUGGGACUAAAUUGAUGGAACGUGUAACACAUUAGAUAUACGCAAGUUUAGUCCAUUGGUCUGUACCUUAGUGAAAAUUGCGAGUGUAACUUGUUUAUAUAUCAUUAACGUGUGAAUUUUGUCUGUGAAUUUUGUCAUUCGUCUCCAAAAGUCAAAGAUGGCUUUAGCCUUAAAUCUACACUUAUAUAUGUCCUUUUGGCCGACCACUUUCCAUGCAAAUGAGGAAUUCCGUAAAAGGCCUUUUGUGUUCCACCAUUUAGUGCGAUGAUCGGUGGCUUAAUCUUUCAAUAAUUGGCGGCAAAUGAUUUUAAAGUCCGAAAAGAUUAUUAUAAAUGAAAGCAUGAAACCCAUAGUACAAUUCGAUUAUCUGAGUCUCUAUUAACAUUUGUUAGAUAAAAUCGAUAAUUUCACACCUGAGGGCAUGUUUGGUGUGAUGGAAUGGGCUGGAAUGAAAUGCUCAUUCCACUUUCUGAUUCCUUUUCCCAUGUUUGGAAUCCCAUAUGUGGAAUGAGAACGCCAACUAAUUUUCAGAGAAUGCUCAUUCCAUCAUUUUGUUGGAAUCAGCAUUCCACUUUUAGACCAGUGGAAUGUCAUUCCAUUCCCACUGAGAAUUAAAUUAAUAACUUAAAGACAAAAAAACCCUUUGCCUUCUUUGAUACAUAUCAUCUGGUUUCCUACUUUUCUCAAUGGACAACACAUUGAGAAUGCACUUGCCGGACUAACUUUUUGGUUUGCUCAGUGAUGAUCACUGGUCUUGCCGGACCUGUUCACGAAGCUUGUCGGAACUGUUGGUCACCGUGACUGAAGCACGCUGGAACUGAUGCUUCAAUUGAAUCGUCGAUGCUCAGUGACUAAGCUUCGGAUGUGAACUUUGGUGGGUCAUCGGAGUGAGCUGAAACUUAGCAACUUGCCAGAAUGAUGAAUCUUCUGCAACUGGAGCACAUCGGAAUUAAUAGACCUUUGCUGCUCGGAAUUCACACCGUAAUCACUGGUUGAAUGAAGCUUGCCGGCAUUCAUGGUGAUGGAGCAUCAGCUGGGUCUGUCUUCACUGGAACCGUUGAGUCUUUGAAUGCAGCUCGCCGAUUUGCCAAAGGCUGGCCCAGAGUUGAAGGGCUUUCACCGGUUUUAAUGGAAGUCGAAAGUCUAAGUGUUCACCGGUUUUAACAGAAGCCAAAGGUCUGAAAUUUUGCCGGAACAGUGAGAAGACACCCUUCUUUGCUUGGGCACAAUGAACACUUUCAGUCUUCAGAUUCAAUUUCUAUCAAGCUCUGAUUUGCUUGUAAAGGAUUUCUUUCUCCAGAUUCAAUUUCUUGUUAUCCCUGUUAUAUCUAUAUAUACCCACAUAUAUAUACAUGUAUAUACUUACAUAUACAUAUAUUUAUGUUUUCUUUUGGAUGUUGAAGGAGAAGAAAGAAAACCUGAAAUUGAAAGUGUGCCACGAAAGGGUAUUUUGGAGAAAUUAAUAAAAACUUA